CUUCUUCCUUAGAGCUCCAUGAGAGCCUCUCCAAUGGAGAUCUUGUAAACACUUCAUAUCAUAAUGAAAUCCUGUGGAUGUAGGUCUCAAGAGACCGAACCACAUAAAAAAAUAUGUCUCCCUUUACUUUCAUGUUCUUUAUCUUUCUUUUAUGUGUUUUGAUGGUUAAGAUCAUCUAGGAUGUAGUAGCAGAAAAUAUGCAACUACAUUUUGACGCUAGAAAUUCGUGAAAGAACAUUAAUACUUCACUACCAGCAAGUUCUGUAAGAGAUCCGGUUGAAAUAAGUGCUUUAAGGGCAUAUUUUUCAAAGAAACAAGAGCUUCGGACAACAAAGUGUCUCGUCUCCGAACAAAUCUUAAGGAAAAGAAAGAGAGAAAAGAGUCUCUACAGCGGAGAGCACGAAGUGAAGAAAAACUUCAACAGCAAUGAAAUCAGCAGAUUUCUCGUCAACAAUCAACUGGGAAUCGAAUAACGAUGGUGAUAGGCGAAGUCGUAUCGGAAUAGCAACAACAAAAAACCACUCUGUGAAGAGAGCUUCAAAGCUGCAUCGCGCUGGCCAAUUGAAGUCGGUCACCAGUUCCUAUCGUCCGAACUCACAUCGGACUGAUUCACAAUCAGGACUACCAUCAGCACAACAACUACUACCUAUCAACACUCUAGCCUGAUUUAGGGCUUUUCUCUUCAAUACCUCUUCGUGCUAACUUACAUAGCAGUUACCGAACGAGUUUAUCGUAUUGUGAUUACUCACUUGAUUGAGUUUCUGUUACAGCAAAACUGGUGAUGGACGAAUUACAUUGGAGCAGUUCACAAUUACAGAUUUACACCAGCAUCGCAACCGUCUCGAGACCAACUCGUGAAGAACCUCCGAUCCAAUCGGACGGACCAACUAUCUCGUACGGCUCAAAUACAGAGCCCCAACCUCUAUCUGCUCGUGAUAAAGCAAUCAACGCGAUGAUGUUCAACUCGAGCUCGUGACAGCGAAAUCGGACUCAACAGUUCAUCUCCGAGCACAAAACUCGGACAGACAAUCAACAGAACAACUAGAGCAUGAACUCGGAUGCCUCAACAUCUUACCCUGACUUGGGCUUAUUUUUUGGAUAUCUUUUCUUACCGUCUUAUCGUGAUUGUUGAACGAGUCUAUUCCAUGUCGUGAUUACUAACUUCAUUGACUUGCUGUUGCAGAAUAAUGAUGAUGGACGAAAUUAUAUCGGACUGAUUCAGCAGCAUCGUGACCACCACGAGGCCAACUCGUGGAGAUACCACCGAUCCAAUCGGAGCAACCAUCUCGUUCAGCUCAACUCAGAGCACCAUAUCGUACCAGAGGCGAUGCGAUAUCGGACAGAUAAUCAACACGAUUGAAGUCGGAUAACCAGAGCAUGAACUCGGACUUACCAAGCCAUCGGACAAGGAGCAUCAACUCAGACUUGUCACCCGACCAAAAACUCGGAUAACAUUCCAUCACACAUCCAUUCCUGAUUUACUUUUCUAAAUUGCAUACAUGACAUGCUAGAUUAGUUAUAGCUAAAUGCUUCGUAUUCAACAACUGAUUGAUAUUUUGAAUAUAGAGAAAUUUAAUACAUUUCAUGUACAGCAGGUGCACGGUAAUACGUUCAACAGAGGGACUCAACUAUUACGCCCAAUGCCUAUCUCAGAUGGUUCAUCCAUGCUCGCCAGGCUUAUCUCGGAGCAACCAUCUCGGACAGAUCCUCGCAAUUAGGAUCGGACAAUCAAAGCUCAAUCCACAUCGGACCAGAAGCGAUGUCGGAUGAGAAAUCAAUAAGCACGAUACGAGCCAACCAGAGCUCGGACUCACCAAGUCAUCGGGCCAGAAGCGAUAUCGGAACAAAGAGAUGUUUAACCGAGCUCGGAUCCAACUCAUAUCAUGACAGUAGUAUCAGACUGGUCACCCGAUCUACUCGGACUCAUAAGUCCAUCUCCGAGGAACAACUCGGAUAACAUACAUUUCUUACCUUAUCUCUUGAUUUAUUUUGAAUUCCUGCAUAUAUAUAUAUAUAUAUAUAUAUAUAUAUAUAACAUGCCAUACUAAACAAUCUUUUGAUUGAUAAUUAGAUAAAUAAUUAAUUCCUAAGUGCUUAAUGCUUUAAAUCAAUAGAAAUUUGAUGCAUUUCAUGACCAACACAAGUACUUGCUAAUAUGCUAUACAAAGAGACUAUGCUACGGCGUCUAUCUUAGAUGGUCAUUUCAAGACCAACAGUCAUAUGCUAUCAAAAGCACUCAUCUCGGAGCGUCCACGAUGAUACAUCCAUGCUCAUAAAGCCUGCCAAGAUAGGAGAAUCACCUCGAGAGCAGCAAACUAAACAGGAGAAAUUCUGUCUUCCUAUCUCUGAAAACUAUUAUGUUGCAUGACUUAUGAAUUAGCCGAAUGCAAUCCAUUAUGUCUCAAUAACAUGUCCAACACACUACGAAAACAAUAUGUUUAGUUGCAGUUUACAAUUACUGUUAACAUCUUUAAUUAUGACAGGACAAUUUGUCUUUAACUUUUUCGAAUGGUUAUUAGCCUUUAAUUGAAAUACACAGGGGUUGGAAUAAAGUCGCCAAUACAAAGAAGCAACUGACAUGAUUCAGUAACACGCUAUCUAGUUCCAAAGAAGGCUAAGUAUCUCUAGUCUCAAAGACCUAACUAUAUAUAUAUACUUUUAUAGUAAAUAAUGAUCUAGAAUCGCAUGACAUCUUACUCUAAGCGACAGGCCUUAUAGCAGGGAUUAGAUAGAAAUCGCUCAGGCGAAUUGAAUGCCUUAGAAGUAAACUUUAGUAUCAUUAUAACAUACUAUAAUUGCUUACCUUUGAAUGAGCAACACCAACUCCUUAAUUAAUGAAGAGUAGUAUGACACUGAUGCAUUUUAUUUCAUUUUCAAUAUGUACAUAUAAGCUCUAAGUAGCCAAUUUCAUAAGAAUGUUUAUAACAAACAUUGAAUUUCAUUUACUCGCAUGAUUAUGUAGUAGUUAAAAGAAUGAUCUUGCUGUAUUCAGUGAUGUUCGAAAAUAAGAACCACACUCAUGUCAUCUAAAAUGCCAUUCAUAAUAAAUUAUCAUGAUAUAAUAUGUUUAAAUGCUUUACAUGCUCAAUGCAUUCAUCUUAGUACGGUCACGACAGUGCAUCCGAGCUCGCCAAGCUCACGAUUUAGCUUGCACAUAAUGUCCAAAGUAGGGGAUGUUCUUAUCUAUUCAUCUCUAAAUUUAUCAUUUUAUACAAAUGAAUUUAAACAUACCUAAUCACUUAUUAGAAGCAUAAUCAUUUAUAAAUAUGCUUUCUUUACUGUUAUUUACCAGUAAUUGGAUUUUACAGGGAAUUUGAGAGGCAAAACAUAACCUCAUUAUAAAGGCUACAAAGCUCAAGGACGAUACAAUCUCCUUCCAUUCCUGCCAACCUAAGGGUGAUCGGGAAGUUUCUAACUCAUCUAUUUACAUUCGAUAAUGAGUAUCAAUAUGCCUAACCAAGGUACAAUUUUGCUUAAAAGCAAGCUAAGAAUAGCUAGUCUCAAAGACUUAAGCCCAUAUAUGUAUCGCACUGGUACUUCCAUAAUCUUUAAGCCGAUAUAUGUAUCGCACUGGUACAUCCAGAACCGAGUGCCACAAUCUAGCGCACCUGCUCCACAACGAGUAUCACAAUAAGUGACAAUGCGAAACCAUAUCGCAUAAAAAUGAGUAGAAAAUGCUUAAAUAGGCUUAACGCUUUAAAACUUAUUGAAUGCUUAAUAAAUUUAAAUGCCUUAACAUUAUGAUGCAUUAACAUUUCAUGUUUUGCAGUAAAUUUUCACAUGGUUGGAGAAUUCAGUUAAGUCGGAUUAAUUAUCCGCAUAAACUAAAGUCGGAUUAGGCAUAAUCCGCAUAAAGGCAUGUCUAUCAUGCAUUAGGAACUAGCAUUAUGCUAGAUAAAGUUAGAGUCAGAUUAAUCUACACAUGGUUGGAGAAUUCAGUUAAGUCGGAUUAAUUAUCCGCAUAAAGUAAAGUCGAAUUAGACAUAAUCCGCAUAAAGGCAUGCCUAUUAUGCAUUAGGAACUAGCAUUAUGCUAGAUAAAGUUAGAGUCAGAUUAGUUGAAAUCUGUAUAAAGGCAUGCUUAUCAUGCAUUAAGGUUAGAGUCGGAUUAGUCGUAAUCCGCAAUAAAGCUAUUGUUGUGUUUGCGUUUUCUUGCAGGUACAUUUGAUGUAUGUAUGGUACAUCUGCUUGUUAUAUAUAUAUAUGUGUUUUCCUGCAGGGUUACUUGGUGUAUCAUACAUACAUCCUCCUCUUGUUCUAUAUGUAUGUGUUUUCUUGCAGGGACAUUGAAUGAAUGUGAUAUAAAUAUCUCCCUCUUGUCAAAUAUGUAUUUUUUGCAGGGUAAUUUAGUCUUAUUAAUAUUAAAUUUGUCCAUCACAGAUGGUAAUAGGGGCAUGAUCCCCAUAUGAGAAAACAUAUUCUCGGGACCAUUAAGAAUGGUAUUGGGUAAACCAAACCCUCGUGCGAGAAAAUAUCUUCUCAAGACCACCACGAUGGUAAUUGGUCUAUGAGCCCCAUAUGAGAAAACCCCUUCUCGAUGCCAUAUGAUUUAUUUUCAUGUGAUUGUUUUAUUAAUUAUUUUGAUCUGUUGAAUGCAUGAAUUAUAUAUGUUUACAGGUUUACCUAGUAUAUUUGUUCCAUUAUGAAUGUUAGUCGGGCUAUAAGCCCCAUAUAAUAAAAUCUCUUCUCAAAGCCAUCACAGAUGGUAAUUGGGGUACAUUCCCUAUGCGAGGAAACAUCUCCUCAAGACCAUCACGAAUGGUAAUUAGGAUACUAGUCCUAUGCGAGGAAAAAUCUCCUCGAGACCAUCAAGACAGAGGAACGACCCCUAUGCGAGGAAACAUCUCCUCAAGACCAUCACGAAUGGUAAGGUGCUAGCCACACCAUUCCAUCCUCAAACAGGAUGAUGCGAGCAAUGCUCAAGCUGCCUGAUACGGAAAAUGACCUAAGGCAAUUCCGUUCGACCGGAUGAUGCGUGGACUCCCUAAGCUAACUGAGACGGAAACAUUGACCUAGGGAAAUGCCAUCUCGACCGCGAGUCAUAUGAUGUCAUGCAUUUCAGGAGGUACCUGUAGUUGACUCACUUUAGGCUGAAAUGCGAAUCGACUAUCAGAGGCAUCUCCCUCACUCUAGUUAGUGCCACGAUCCGACUACGGGGCAGGUGCCUUCCUAAAGAGAACCACGAUAUAUAUAAUUUACGAAUAAAUGUUCAAUAAGGACACAUAUUCGGAAUCAGAAGGAUCUUUUAAAUCCUCUCGACUUGUAUUGUAAGAGGUUAUCUGGCCAAAUGGGAAGCUGAUCACUUCUCGGACUUAUAGCCAAUAACUUGUCCAAAGACGAAAGAGAUACCACUAUGGUCUGACCCUUAUAUAAAAUCGCACACAAGUGCAACAUUAAAACUGUAUCGAGGUUCAAUUACAAUCAUUUCAUUAUGAUUUUGAAUUUGCUUUAUUGCUAAUCUAUCUUAAUUUGAUUUAUGCAGGUACAAGCUACAGGAUGUAGCAACAUAAAUAAUAUUGUCAGAAAAUGGAGUUAGGGGCAAACCUUGACUUUGGCUUUCAAAAUCUAUCAUCUCUUAAGCUUCCAAAAACUAAAGGGGGCAGUGUAUUAUACCCUCAGUACCUUCAAGAAAGGUUUAGAUCCUCAGAUCACAGAUUGAGGCAAACAGUAAGUCCUCGGGGCAAGGCUUCAGAUCACCAUCCGAAGACAUUUUGAGUCCCCACAGAAACAAGCCUCCGAUAUAUCUCGGAGCACAAAAAGAAAGACCUCGGACUACCAUCCGAAGGCACAAUGUACAACUUAAUACCUGAACUACAUACAUAACACUUUUUACACUGGUAAAAAGAUACAGGAUUCAAA